AACGAACGCUGGCGGCAUGCCUAACACAUGCAAGUCGAACGAGACCUUCGGGUCUAGUGGCGCACGGGUGCGUAACGCGUGGGAAUCUGCCCUUGGGUUCGGAAUAACAGUGAGAAAUUACUGCUAAUACCGGAUGAUGUCUUCGGACCAAAGAUUUAUCGCCCAGGGAUGAGCCCGCGUAGGAUUAGAUAGUUGGUGGGGUAAUGGCCUACCAAGGCGACGAUCCUUAGCUGGUCUGAGAGGAUGAUCAGCCACACUGGGACUGAGACACGGCCCAGACUCCUACGGGAGGCAGCAGUGGGGAAUAUUGGAAAAUGGGCGCAAGCCUGAUCCAGCAAUGACGCGUGAGUGAUGAAGGCCUUAGGGUUGUAAAGCUCUUUUACCCGGGAUGAUAAUGACAGUACCGGGAGAAUAAGCGCCGGCUAACUCCGUG
rnacentral:rRNA from 1 species